rnacentral:lncRNA from 1 species
CCCCGAUGGGGGAAGAAGGGAUGGGAGCAGUCCCCAGUGGGGAAGAGGAGGAAUGCCUUCCCAAGGAAAAACUCUCCUCCUUUUAUAGGCUCGGCAUCCUCUCUCUCUCUUCCUUGUUUCACGUCGCGAUAAAGAUGGAUGGCUGCAGGAUGAGGCUGAGAGCUUUCUGCUUAACGUUGAAGAUGCUAGCUCUAUCCCGAUGGCUUGAACAACCUGUGAGGAUAAACUCAGGUUCUGUUUUGCUGUACCAGGAGAUCCGGCGAAGAUGAGUUGGCUGGGAGCUUAUCCAUCGAGAAGAAC